UGGGGAAUCUUCCGCAAUGGGCGAAAGCCUGACGGAGCAACGCCGCGUGAGUGAAGACGGCCUUCGGGUUGUAAAACUCUGUGAUUCGGGACGAAAGAUAAGCAGACGAAUAAUCUGCAUAAGUGACGGUACCUGAAAAACAAGCCACGGCUAACUACGUGCCAGCAGCCGCGGUAAUACGUAGGUGGCGAGCGUUAUCCGGAUUUACUGGGUGUAAAGGGCGUGCAGGCGGGCUGAUAAGUCAGAUGUGAAAUCCCCGAGCUUAACUCGGGAACUGCAUCUGAUACUGUUGGUCUUGAGUGCUGGAGAGGAUAGUGGAAUUCCUAGUGUAGCGGUAAAAUGCGCAGAUAUUAGGAGGAACACCAGUGGCGAAGGCGGCUAUCUGGACAGUAACUGACGCUGAGGCGCGAAAGCGUGGGUAGCAAACAGG
rnacentral:rRNA from 1 species